GGAGAGGUGCAAGAGCGGUUGAAUUGGCACGCCUGGAGAGCGUGUGGGCGGUAACCCGCCCCGUGGGUUCGAAUCCCACCCUCUCCGCCA
rnacentral:tRNA from 1 species